AUGAAAAUACUUAGUUGGAACUGUCGGGGUUUGGGUCAACCUCGCACAGUUCAGGAGCUAGUGUGUCUCUCUAAGAUGCAACAACCCAAUGUUAUCUUUCUCUCCGAGACAAGGAAAAAUAAAGAUUAUGUUGAGCGUUUGCGUUAUCGAUUGGGUAUGAGUAAUGUUUUUACCUAUUAUUCUCCAGGGAAAGGUGGUGGUCUUGCGGUGUUCUGGGAUGAUUCUUAUACUAUACAGCUGAACAAAUAUGGGGAGCAUUUCAUUGAUAUGUUUAUCUGUACUGCUAAUGGAGCAAAGUGGAGAAGCACCUUUAUCUAUGGAGAGCCUAAGGCUAGUCAAAGGUACGUCAUGUGGGAACUUUUGCGGAGAAUUAAGCCUAUGGGUUCUGGUCCUUGGUUCAUGGUUGGAGAUUUCAAUGAAGCGAUGUGGCAAAAUGAGCACUUUUCUCGGAAUAAAAGGUCCAAUUCUUUGAUGGCUGAUUUUAGGAGUGUGCUCUCUGAUUGUAAUCUUUUUGACUUGGGGUUUCAUGGUACGCCGUGGACUUAUGACAACAAACAACAGGGUUCCAAAAAUGUUAGAGUAAGAUUGGACAGAGCUGUUGCGUGUCCUCAAUGGUCGGCACUAUUUCCGGAGUGCAGGGUGUCUCAUAUUAUUAGCUCAAGAUGUGACCAUUGCCCUCUGCUCAUUCAACUGUCAGGGUUGCCUCGGCAAGGUAAUAUUGUUAAACAGCUUAAAUACGAGGCAUACUGGGAGAGGGAAGGGAUGGUGUUAGAAGAGCAUAUUAAAUCUUGCUGGAACGAAGGUAUGUAUAUUGAUGAUUUGAAGGAUGUGGCUUCUAAGCUCAAGAGAAUGCUAGGAAAUUUGCAUGAUUGGAGUCGAAAAUAUAUUGGUUAUCUUCCUAGAAAGCUUGAGUUGGCUAGGAGCAGACUCAAGGUGCUUUAUAAUAGGAAUGAUCAUGCCGCUGUGAUGGAGAAAAAGUCUCUUCUCAAGGAAAUGGAUGAGUUGCUCUAUAAAGAGGAAAUGUUAUGGAAACAGAGGUCGCGGAUUGAUAAAAUUAGAUGGGGAGAUCGGAAUACAAAAUUCUUUAGAGCUCUUGGAGAGCAAAGAAAAAUUUAUAUCUAG
rnacentral:rRNA from 1 species